GACGAACGCUGGCGGCGUGCUUAACACAUGCAAGUCGAACGGAAAGGCCCUGCUUUUGUGGGGUGCUCGAGUGGCGAACGGGUGAGUAACACGUGAGUAACCUGCCCUUGACUUUGGGAUAACUUCAGGAAACUGGGGCUAAUACCGGAUAGGAGCUCCUGCUGCAUGGUGGGGGUUGGAAAGUUUCGGCGGUUGGGGAUGGACUCGCGGCUUAUCAGCUCGUUGGUGGGGUAGUGGCUUACCAAGGCUUUGACGGGUAGCCGGCCUGAGAGGGUGACCGGCCACAUUGGGACUGAGAUACGGCCCAGACUCCUACGGGAGGCAGCAGUGGGGAAUAUUGCACAAUGGGCGGAAGCCUGAUGCAGCAACGCCGCGUGCGGGAUGACGGCCUUCGGGUUGUAAACCGCUUUCGCCUGUGACGAAGCGUGAGUGACGGUAAUGGGUAAAGAAGCACCGGCUAACUACGUGCCAGCAGCCGCGGUGAUACGUAGGGUGCGAGCGUUGUCCGGAUUUAUUGGGCGUAAAGGGCUCGUAGGUGGUUGAUCGCGUCGGAAGUGUAAUCUUGGGGCUUAACCCUGAGCGUGCUUUCGAUACGGGUUGACUUGAGGAAGGUAGGGGAGAAUGGAAUUCCUGGUGGAGCGGUGGAAUGCGCAGAUAUCAGGAGGAACACCAGUGGCGAAGGCGGUUCUCUGGGCCUUUCCUGACGCUGAGGAGCGAAAGCGUGGGGAGCGAACAGGCUUAGAUACCCUGGUAGUCCACGCUGUAAACGGUGGGUACUAGGUGUGGGGUCCAUUCCACGGGUUCCGUGCCGUAGCUAACGCUUUAAGUACCCCGCCUGGGGAGUACGGCCGCAAGGCUAAAACUCAAAGGAAUUGACGGGGCCCCGCACAAGCGGCGGAGCAUGCGGAUUAAUUCGAUGCAACGCGUAGAACCUUACCUGGGUUUGACAUGGAUCGGGAGUGCUCAGAGAUGGGUGUGCCUCUUUUGGGGUCGGUUCACAGGUGGUGCAUGGCUGUCGUCAGCUCGUGUCGUGAGAUGUUGGGUUAAGUCCCGCAACGAGCGCAACCCUUGUUCACUGUUGCCAGCACGUUAUGGUGGGGACUCAGUGGAGACCGCCGGGGUCAACUCGGAGGAAGGUGGGGAUGACGUCAAGUCACCAUGCCCCUUAUGUCCAGGGCUUCACGCAUGCUACAAUGGCUGGUACAGAGAGUGGCGAGCCUGUGAGGGUGAGCGAAUCUCGGAAAGCCGGUCUCAGUUCGGAUUGGGGUCUGCAACUCGACCUCAUGAAGUCGGAGUCGCUAGUAAUCGCAGAUCAGCAACGCUGCGGUGAAUACGUUCCCGGGGCU
rnacentral:rRNA from 1 species